CAAAGUGUAGCCUAAACAUAAAGCAUCUGGCCUACGCCCAGAAGAUUUCGUACUCCGAACACUUUGA
rnacentral:tRNA from 1 species